rnacentral:antisense_RNA from 1 species
UUAUAUGGCCGCUGUGCGCGGGACAUCUUCGGAUGUGCCGGGACCCUUACGACUCGGUCUGCGAACCUGCGCACAGUUGCCACCCAU